ACUCCUACGGGAGGCAGCAGUAGGGAAUCUUCGGCAAUGGACGAAAGUCUGACCGAGCAACGCCGCGUGAGUGAAGAAGGUUUUCGGAUCGUAAAACUCUGUUGGUAGAGAAGAACGUUGGUGAGAGUGGAAAGCUCAUCAAGUGACGGUAACUACCAGAAAGGGACGGCUAACUACGUGCCAGCAGCCGCGGUAAU
rnacentral:rRNA from 1 species